rnacentral:rRNA from 1 species
CUCUAAUGGAGAGUUUGAUCCUGGCUCAGGACGAACGCUGGCGGCGUGCCUAAUACAUGCAAGUCGAGCGGAGUCUCAGAGAAGCUUGCUUCUCUGAGACUUAGCGGCGGACGGGUGAGUAACACGUAGGUAACCUGCCCAUAAGACUGGGAUAACUACCGGAAACGGUAGCUAAUACCGGAUAGGUUCUUCUCUCGCAUGGGAGGGGAAAGAAAGACGGAGCAAUC